UACGUAGGGUGCAAGCGUUGUCCGGAAUUAUUGGGCGUAAAGAGCUCGUAGGCGGUUUGUCGCGUCUGCUGUGAAAAUCCAGGGCUUAACCCUGGACCUGCAGUGGGUACGGGCAGACUAGAGUGCGGUAGGGGAGAUCGGAAUUCCUGGUGUAGCGGUGAAAUGCGCAGAUAGUCAGGAGGAACACCGGUGGCGAAGGCGGAUCUCUGGGCCGUAACUGACGCUGAGGAGCGAAAGCAUGGGGAGCGAACAGG
rnacentral:rRNA from 1 species